rnacentral:rRNA from 1 species
UACGUAUGGUGCAAGCGUUAUCCGGAUUUACUGGGUGUAAAGGGAGCGUAGGCGGCGCGUUAAGUCUGAUGUGAAAACCCGAGGCUCAACCACGGGAGUGCAUUGGAAACUGGCGUGCUGGAGUGCCGGAGAGGUAAGCGGAAUUCCUAGUGUAGCGGUGAAAUGCGUAGAUAUUAGGAGGAACACCGGUGGCGAAGGCGGCCUGCUGGACGACGACUGACGCUGAGGCUCGAAAGCGUGGGGAGCAAACAGG